AGAGUUUGAUCCUGGCUCAGAAUCAACGCUGGCGGCGUGCCUAACACAUGCAAGUCGCACGAGAAAGGGACUUCGGUCCUGAGUACAGUGGCGCACGGGUGAGUAACACGUGAAUCAUCUACCUUCGAGUGGGGAAUAACUGAGAGAAAUCUUAGCUAAUACCGCAUAAUACCUACGGGUCAAAGCAGCAAUGCGCUUGAAGAGGAGUUCGCGGCAGAUUAGUUAGUUGGCGGGGUAAUGGCCCACCAAGACGAUGAUCUGUAUCCGGCCUGAGAGGGCGCACGGACACACUGGAACUGAAACACGGUCCAGACUCCUACGGGAGGCAGCAGUGGGGAAUUUUGCGCAAUGGGGGAAACCCCGACGCAGCAACGCCGCGUGGAGGAUGAAGUCUCUUGGGACGUAAACUCCUUUCGAUCGGGACGAUAAUGACGGUACCGGAAGAAGAAGCCCCGGCUAACUUCGUGCCAGCAGCCGCGGUAAUACGAGGGGGGCAAGCGUUGUUCGGAAUUAUUGGGCGUAAAGGGUGCGUAGGCGGUCCGGCAAGUCUUGUGUGAAAUCUUCAGGCUCAACUUGAAGUCUGCAUAAGAAACUGCCGGGCUUGAGUAUGGGAGAGGUGAGUGGAAUUUCCGGUGUAGCGGUGAAAUGCGUAGAUAUCGGAAGGAACACCUGUGGCGAAAGCGGCUCACUGGACCAUAACUGACGCUGAGGCACGAAAGCUAGGGGAGCAAACAGGAUUAGAUACCCUGGUAGUCC
rnacentral:rRNA from 1 species